rnacentral:lncRNA from 1 species
GCCUGUCUCCGGCCAUUUUCGUUUGUAAGAAAGGAUUUCCUCUUAUUUUUCGUUUGAAUCCAUAAGUUUUUAACCGAUUUUCUUCGUCUCCACUAUUUUUCGAAAACCCUAGUUCGCUACUAUUCGAUUCUUCUCAGAUCUUUAUAGAUCUGAGGUGAUUCGAGUAUUAUUAAGUGUUUUCCUUUAAAAAUAUCCUGUUUUAACUAACUAUUUUGAUUUUAGUCGCUCUUUUCUAAACUAGGGUUUCUGAAAAUCAUUUUCUUCAAAACACUUUCUGGUUUUAAGUGUUUAGUCCCCUGUGUAUGUGUUUUGAUUGAUUUUGUUAAGUUCUUCCUUAACCCUAACUAGCCUAUGUUAACCUCCCCCCCCCCCCAAUUUUUGACACUUUGUUUGGAUUCUGCACUUGUCCGUGUUAUUUGAUACACGCCAAUGUUCUAGGCUUUGAUUUACAUGAUUAAUUCUUCGUUUAAUUAGAAUAUCUUGUGAUUUUACCCUAUUAUGCCUCUAUUAGGAUUUCAGAUUCGAUUCUUUCUGUUUACACUUGGCUUAGUUGCUUAUUCAUGGAAAACUUAUAUCAUUUUCCCUAAAUUAGUACUAUUUUGAAUCCUUAUUUACUGAAUUGCUAUGGUAAUACUUAUAUACUGAUUUCCGGUUAUUUUCCUAUUUCUACGACCUUUGAUUAUUUCUUGCCUUAUUUACGAUUAAUUGUGGUACUUGUUGAUUCUUAUUGAUUGUUCCCUUAAUUGAGCUUUUGUUCAUUUACCCUUAAUUACCCACCCCGUACUUAAGUAUUUAGUUUUCUUUCCUUAAUUAUAUGCCCUGCUCUUUAUCAUUAACUGGUCACUCCUUUACUAGAAGAGAAUCUUGCUGAUUUUAUACAUGAUUGAUUAUGUAAUUUUCCCAAAUUACUGAAUGAUUGAUUCUUUACCUUACUUUACUAUGCUCUCAACUACUAUAUAUACUCUCCUCUAUUCUUACUUCCAUAGACAAGAACAAUUAGUUCAAAAAAAAAACACACACACACACACACAUACAUAAAAUUCUCUCUUCUCUCUCUGCUACUUGUGCUAACUGCUUGUCUAGCCGGCUGAAAGCCAAGGCUAGACUGUGGAACUCUACUUGUUUUACUUUCUACAUUUUUCUUCCUUAACUGGAAUGUUCCUAGUUCAAUUCUGAAACUCAACUCUAUGUGCUCCAUGUCUGUUAGUCCAUGUCUCCUUCUGCACUAGUUUAAUGGCUUAUGUAUUUAAUUGCUCUUCUUGUUUACUUCUUUAUGCAGCAUGCUUAAGUUUGCCCUCUCUUGGUCAAGUGUGUAAUCAGCAUAUCUGGGUAUCACUUGUCUUGUUUGAUACUCGGCCGGCAUGUCUACUUGGGUUCCUAUUUAUUUCCCUCAACUAGUAUGCCAUGUUAGUAUCAUAGACUCCUAAUGUACAUGAUUAACACUAAGCAGCAUGACUAAUUAUGUGUAAUAGACCCAUGUCCUCAACAUGACUACUCUCAUACCCUGUCCCUAUGUCUUAUUACUAUUCUAAUUUCGAGCAUGAUUCCCUUGUUAACACUUUGAAGUAGUAGUUUUGUGUUCUGGAGGCCAAUCAGUUGCUACUUGUUCUUUGUACCUGCUGGUUUAUAUGCUUCUCUUCUCAUCCAUGUUUACAUGUUUCUGAUUUGGGCUCUCUGUGUCCCCAACCCUUUACUUCUCUGCUUGUGAAUGUUAAAAUGAUACUAUUCUUUGAACUUGUUCUGUGUGUGCUGGCUUGUUCCAAGUUGUUGUUGCUACUAUUCCCUUCUCCUUUCAAAACUGUUUUUCCCUAAGCAACCCUUCUAUUGUUUUGCAAACUUAUUUCAAACAUGUUGUUUCAAAACUUUUUUCCAAUUCAACCUUUUCAAAACUAUGAUAAGCACUCUCACUCUACUCUUAGAUCACUAAGUUCUGCCCCUUUUGUGAGAGAGCCUUGCCUUGGGACCCUUGAGCUCCCUCUGAACUUGGACACAUAAAAGUUGGUCUUUCCACACUGCACUUAUUUUGUUUUGGCUAUGAAAUCUGGGUGUGAGCACUACCCGGGAUCCCUUGAGUUUCUUAGGGAACUCUAACACACCCGGAUAUGAGAAGGGCUAUGAAAUAAUCUUGGCACUUGAGGUGAUUUAUUACAUAACUCAUGGAGGAAGUCCUAAUCAGGCUCUGUAUAGUGUAAUCUCUUAUUUUUCAUUUCUACUUAUGCAAUUCAUUUUAGUAUUGGUCUGUAAUAAUCUGUUGUAAACAAGUAUUGGGCAAGCUAGUGAAAAGGGAAGGGUAGUUAUGUAUGUUGUCAACAUCAAUGGGUAGAAACCAUGUUUUAGGUUUACAUUUCCUAUAUAUGCAUUAUCAACCCAUUCAAAGCAUGUCAUGCAUUAGAUACUAUGUUCUUAGGUUUAUUGUUUCAGUAUCUCAUUUGGCAUCACUUUAUCACUUAGAAAUCCCGCUUUAGGCUAAAUAACAGCAUUAAUAUAAAAUGUUGAUCCUGCACAUCUUGAAGUCGUGUUGUAACUCUUUGGGCAUUUAGAAACCAUGCUUUAGGAAUUCUGCAUAUUCUGUAAUCAUUCUGCAUUUUUCAUAUGUGCACGUUAGAUACCCUGUUUUUAGGAUCUCGCUCAGUUACACCUAGUUAAACUGCUGAUGCAUGAAAAAAGGACAUAAAAUAGUCUCGUGUUUGAUUAUCUUGUUUAAGCGAAAGUGGUCAUAAUCCUGCAUGUCUUUACAACAUUUAGAACAGCAUGCCUUUAGGUAAAAUAACUUUUUAACUGUUUUCAAUAAUCCUGGUAACUGCUGCAUAUUAUGUUAUGCCUAGGCAAGCCUUAGGUAGUAAACUUAAAUAAAACCAGAACCGUCUUUGUAAUUAGUGUUUAACUAUCAAACAUGUUAAAAUCAGUAGGCAAGCCUGAUUAGACUUCUUUUCUGAGUCAUAUAAUGAAUCUGGUUCUGCUGCUAUCACUUAGAUACCAUGCUUUAGAAUUCUGAGUUCAAAUGUGGACCUUAUCUGUAUAUGAGUUGUGUUGUCUAUGUGCAUUACUUGUGGAGGUAUAUUUGAGCCUUCUAUCAGUUUUCUGUGUUUUCCCCCUUAAUACAGACAUAUGUGUUCUUAAUUGUCGCCUAGUAUUUUGCCUUUAAACUUGAGGAUCUUCCUAGAAUCCCCCCCUUUUAUAGGAUAGGAGUCCUAAAUUCCUCCGGGGCUGAUAGGAAGGGACGGGCAAUAGCAUGCAAUAGGGGUCGACACCAACCCUCACUUUAGUUACCUUCACGGAGCGGGAAAAGGAAUAUAUGGAUAUGAUGACCGGUGCGUUAAUACCACGUGUAGCCCCUCUUUGAGAAGUGUCAUACCGGGUAUUGCAUUGAUGUGAUCCAUAUUAUAAACAAACCUAGGACACCCCCUUUACAUUCACAAAUGUGAUUAGAUUGUAAUUCUUUUAAACUCUUGCUUUUCAUUAAUUGCUUUUCAAACAUCUGUGUUCUUAAACUUAAAUCACCUACUAUUUGAGCCAUACUUGUUUAUUUGCUAACUGUACAAAUUACAAAAACUAUUUGGUCGGAAACCACACUAGUGGAUCCUGAGGGGUGCCUAACACCAUCCCCUUGGUAUAAUUUCAAGACCUUACCCUGUCUCUGGUUACCAAACGUAGUUAUAAAUGAACCCUAUAGGUUCCCUAACGCACCUUAAAUCGAUAAGUGGCGACUCUUCAAAAUGCAACCCCCCUUUACCAAAAGGAAAGAGUUAUCCCAACCAAAAUAUCAUAAACCCGAUUCCGUGAAGGAAAAAGGGGGCGCGACACCGCUCUCUGGCUAUACUUGCAAAAGGUUUUGAUCCUAAUGUACGAUGCAUGUAUCACUCUAACGCCCAAGGGCAUAGCAUUGAAGAUUGGCGUGAUUUGAAAAGGGAAAUAGAAAGAAUGAUUCAAGAAGGGAUAAUUCUGAUUAAGGACAGUGACAGGGAGUACGUGAAUCCUCUUGGGAACUUGUUGACUGAAGUUAAUGAUAUUGAAGUUGGUAAUGGUCUUGGCAAUAUUGAUGUGGAACUCAAUGGCUAAGAUAUCGUGCUUGGUAAUUGGAAAGACGCUCAAUCUCUUGGCUAGCUGGGGAGGAGUCUUGGUGGUUUAUUUUUUCUGUUAUCCAGGUUAUUUUCAAGGUUGUGAUCCGGAUAUUGUCUUGUGACUUAAACCCUUCUAUCCUUUUAUUUUGCCUCGUUUGUUUGGUCGUAGUAGCUCGUUUAGUGUUGUCUGGUUUAUUUUACUUGUUUUGUUGUUCAAACCCUUUCACCAUCUAUCUAAUGCAAUUUCAUGUUUUCUAUUAUUUCUAGUAAGUUUUUUGUUUAGUUCUCUCUCCCUUUUAUAGUUCUUUUCCUACUAACUCUAGUGACAUGACAUGCACGCGUAAUUCUCAGCCUGGUCUUAAGAGUUAGUUUAGUCUGAAGCAAUGAAAGAAUUUUGAAGAUGAUAGGGACAUUAUAAGUGAAGGCAUUUUGAGAUCACUUCAAGCUCGAAUUGUGUGAAACUGGG